rnacentral:rRNA from 1 species
AUGUCUUCUUCGGGCUAUGUUGCUGUUCCUCGGUGCUCAGUGAUAUUUGAUGGCACCAACUAUGCUGAGUUUGCGGGCUUCAUGCGUAUCCAUAUGCGCGGACUUCUACUAUGGGGCGUUCUUUCUGGCGAGGUCCCUUGUCCGCCAUGCCCCAGUGCUCCAGUGGCUCCUACACCACCAGCACCGCCGGUUUUUGCUGCUGAUGCUUCUCAGGCAGAUCGGGAUGCAGCCAAGGCUCUCGACGAUGCUGCAGUUGAUGCUUAUGAUCAGCAGGUAUCAGCCUAUUCUGACGCUCUGUCUGUCUACCAAGAUGAUCUGUCUGCUUACACUCAGUGGUGCAAUGAUGAUGCUCGAGCUGCUGUUGUUCUCACUGCGAGUGUUCUCCCUCAGUUUGCUUCCGAGUUCAUGGGCCUUGGCACUGUUGCAGCGAUGUGGUCUUAUCUCUGUCAGCGCUAUCAACCCUCUGGUGAUGCUCUCUACUUAUCUAUGGUGCGUCAGGAGCAUGCUCUUCAGCAGGGUGACUCUUCUGUUGAUGAGUUCUACACACAGAGUUCUGCCAUCUAG